rnacentral:rRNA from 1 species
UACGUAGGGCGCAAGCGUUAUCCGGAAUUAUUGGGCGUAAAGAGCUCGUAGGCGGUUUGUCGCGUCUGCCGUGAAAGUCCGGGGCUCAACUCCGGAUCUGCGGUGGGUACGGGCAGACUAGAGUGAUGUAGGGGGAGACUGGAAUUCCUGGUGUAGCGGUGAAAUGCGCAGAUAUCAGGAGGAACACCGAUGGCGAAGGCAGGUCUCUGGGCAUUAACUGACGCUGAGGAGCGAAAGCAUGGGGGAGUGAACAGG